UUUAAAUGGCCGCAGUAUAUUAACUGUGCAAAGGUAGCAUAAUCAUUAGUCUUUUAAUUGAAGGCUGGUAUGAAUGGUUGGACGAAAUAUUAACUGUUUCAUAAAAAUUUAAAUUAGAAUUUUAUUUUUUAGUUAAAAAGCUAAAAUGAUAUUAAAAGACGAGAAGACCCUAUAAAUCUUUAUACUUAUAUUAUUAUUAUUUUUUAGAUUAAUUUUAUUAUAAUAAUUUAUAGUAUUUUAUUGGGGUGAUAUUAAAAUUUAAAAAACUUUUAAUUUUUGAAAUUCAUUAAUUUAUGAAUUAUUGAUCCAUUAUUAUUGAUUAAAAAAUUAAGUUACUUUAGGGAUAACAGCGUAAUUUUUUUGGAGAGUUCAUAUCGAUAAAAAAGAUUGCGACCUCGAUGUUGGAUUAAGAGAUAAUUUUAGGUGUAGCCGCUUAAAUUUUGAGUCUGUUCGACUUUUAAAUUCUUA
rnacentral:rRNA from 1 species